AUUGAACGCUGGCGGCAUGCUUUACACAUGCAAGUCGGACGGCAGCACAGAGAAGCUUGCUUCUUGGGUGGCGAGUGGCGAACGGGUGAGUAAUAUAUCGGAACGUACCGAGUAGUGGGGGAUAACUAAUCGAAAGAUUAGCUAAUACCGCAUAUUCUCUGAGGAGGAAAGCUGGGGACCUUCGGGCCUAGCGCUAUUUGAGCGGCCGAUAUCUGAUUAGCUGGUUGGUGGGGUAAAGGCCUACCAAGGCGACGAUCAGUAGCGGGUCUGAGAGGAUGAUCCGCCACACUGGGACUGAGACACGGCCCAGACUCCUACGGGAGGCGGCAGUGGGGAAUUUUUGGGACAAUGGGCGCAAGCCUGAUCCAGCCAUGCCGCGUGUCUGAAGAAGGCCUUCGGGUUGUAAA
rnacentral:rRNA from 1 species